ensembl:snoRNA Gm24161 small nucleolar RNA SNORA17
CUUGACCCUAGAAGUGUGGCAGAUGUGGCUGCUGUGUCCCAUGUGCAUCAGUGGUGGCAGAAAGGACAGAGGCUAUGUCUACACUGAGUGUUCUGACCUAUGACAUCUGAAUGAUUGGUAGCCUAACACU